CUAAGACCCACAACUGAAAAUGUCUGCAUGUGUUGUUACUUUAAUUCUUAAUAUUGAAUGAAAUAAUCUUCGAUUGUUUUUACAGGUGAGAAUGAAUUAGCAGUUAUGUUAAUGAAAGAUUAAUAGUUUAGGAACAAGAACUGAACAAUAUCCUGCCUUCCAAGGUUUUUUUCAUUGCAACUGCAGAUGCCUGUUGUGCAAAACAGCCGCACCCUUUACUGUAAAUGAAAAUGAAAGUGAAUAUUUGACUGAGUAAAGAACAAACACACAUAGCAGUUCAAAUAUUCAAUGCCAACUAUGUGAGGAAGAAGCGCAAACGAGGCACAUCAUGAUUUGCCCUCCAUGUGGAAAUAAACUCGAAGGGUCAUUUGAAAUCUGUCCUGGAUGUGGCUUCAAGUUAUCUGCCCUGACUGAAAAAAAUGCUCAAGAUGGUGCCACAUCAGCACAUCCAAUUUCAACCACUGCUGAGGAGAAAAACCAAAAGAAAGAUCAAGACCAUGCUGUUAAAGAAAGCACUACUCAAAUACAGGUGACAAGGCUAAGAAAUACAUGUUAUAUUUGUGAAAUUACAUAUGUAAUAGGUAAUUUAUCCAGCAAUUUUGAUUGAGAAAUAAAAAUAAAAAUCCUCUUUUUGAAAGUGAAACAUUGUCCUGCCUGCUUGUUUCAUACCAAAGUGAUCAACUGCAGUAAACAAGCUCUUAAAAACAGAGUAACCAGUUUCUGGAGACCUUUCAAGUUCAGCUUACGCAAAUAUUUCUUGUUCAGACAGUGUGCUAACUUACACGUUUCACUAAGGUAUGAGACUGCAAAGAUGAACCUUAUCUUUGACAUAAAAAGUGGGACAACUUUUUAUGUAUAUUAGAUUAUUUGUAUUAAAUAAAAAGAUGCUUAAUUUCUGCCUCCAGAGAAAACUAAGAUAUACUUAUCAAUUUGAAAAUGGUUUUUGAUGAACUAACAAUGUAGCUUUUCUUCAGGAACAGUUGGCCACUGGUGAAUCAGAACCAACCAGAGAGGAUGCUACAUCAUCAGAUAUCAUUACAGGCCCAGCCGGGAACUCAGAUGUUAAUAAGAACCACACAAACACAGAACAAAAUAAAUUCACAAAACAGACUAGCAGGAAAAAAGACAAAGUAGUCAAAGAUAAGAAAUGUUAUUCAGAUGAUCAAAAUAUCCACAAAAGACAGAAUUCUACAAGCCUCAGCCUACCAACAAAGGGAACUAUCAAAAAGACCAAGGUAUUGUAAAGUCAAACAGAGUUUUAACCCUCAAACUGAAUUUUUCCACAGAAAUGCAAUAUCAUAAUAAGUAUAUGUUAUCAUGUUUUUUAUUAUACAUAAUAUAACAAUAAAUAUGUCAUUUAUCUACCGAUGUUUAUGAAACUUCCUCUUUCUGAAUAUGAAAAACUGUUCUGUUCUCUUUUUACACCAAGUUUAUCCAUUUCAGUCAGGACAGUUUGGGUUGCCAUAAAGCUGUAAAUACUUUUCCGUUAUGAUGUACAUUUGUAUGUUCAUAAAAAUGGUUAGAGAUGUAACCUACCAUGACAAUAAUCAGCACAUCAAAUUUUAACCACAGCCGAGAAGAAAAACCAGUAAGACGAUCAAGAUCGGGCUUCGAAAGAUGUUUAAGAAAAACAAGAAAACAUCGCCCAAGAGAACUAAGGUAUUAUCAGUUCAAAUAAACUGUUCUAACACUUAAACUGAAUUUGUACAAAAUGCAAAAUCACAACAUCAGUAAAAACAUUUUUUCUUUUAUUAUAGUCAUGUAAUGAUUUUGCCAGUGUGAAAUCAGUUUUAACUGUGUAAUAUUAAUUAAUGGUCCAUUUUGAUAUACAAAUAAAAGUGAGUGAGAGAGAGAAAAGAGGACAGUUAGAGAAUCAGAUAGUGCAG
rnacentral:lncRNA from 1 species